CCCUUAGAUGUUCUGGGCCGCACGCGCGCUACACUGACGAAUGCAACGAGCUUAUAACCUUGGCCGACAGGCCCGGGCAAUCUUUGAACGCUGGUCGUGAUGGGGAUAGACUUUUGCAAUUUUUGGUCUUCAACGAGGAAUUCCUAGUAAACGCAAGUCAUCAACUUGCAUUGAUUACGUCCCUGCCCUUUGUACACACCGCCCGUCGCACCUACCGAUUGAAUGGUCCGGUGAAGCCUCCGGAUUGGCGCGCACCUCGGUGCCGCCGAGAAGUUGGCUAAACCUUACCAUUUAGAGGAAGGUGAANUCGUANCA
rnacentral:rRNA from 1 species